GCCGCCGUAGCUUAGCUGGUGGAGCAGCUGAUUCGUAAUCAGCAGGUCGGGGGUUCGAAUCCCUCCGGCGGCU
rfam:Thermoplasmatales archaeon SG8-52-1 WOR_8-12_589, whole genome shotgun sequence.